UACGAAGGGUGCAAACGUUGCUCGGAAUCAUUGGGCGUAAAGCGCACGUAGGCGGCCUCGCAAGUUGGAUGUGAAAUCCCUCGGCUCAACCGAGGACGUGCAUCCAAAACUGCGGGGCUUGAGUACUGAAGAGGAUCGCGGAAUUCCCGGUGUAGAGGUGAAAUUCGUAGAUAUCGGGAGGAACACCAGUGGCGAAGGCGGUUCUCUGGGCCUGUUCUGACGCUGAGGAGCGAAAGCGUGGGGGAGCAAACAGG
rnacentral:rRNA from 1 species